UUUCAGUUUAAUGACCCAAGUGGUUAAGAAUUGGGAGAAACCUUAAAACCAAAAUAAAACCCCAAACAAUAAUUUUCUCUCUCCUCUGAUUUUAUACCCCGUGCUGUGCAUGCUCAAUUUCUGGAUUUUUGAAGUCGGAAUUUCCCAAAAUUAUUGAAUCAAAGUUGUAGAUCUCGAAAAUUUAUUGAACGUAGACCCAAAAAUCACUUGAUUUGGAGUUCAGAGCUCUGAGUUAUGGUCUUUGCAAAUUUGGUGUUGCUACCUCCAUUUCUCUCUCCUCUGUUUUUAUUUACCAAUCUGUUGCCCCAUUUAUCUAUAACAUGCAAUCCAAUUUUGCUCUUUGUUGCUGAAUCAAAGUUGUAGAUCACUUCGAGCUAAUGAAUUUGGGCACAAAAAUCACUUGAUUUGGAGUUCGGAGCUAUGAGUUAUGGUCUUUUUGUAGAUCACUUCGAGCUAAUGAAUUUGAGCACAAAAAUCGCUCAAUUUGGAGUUCGGAGCUAUGAGUUACGCCUUACACAAGUUCAGCACUACUGUUGUACUUUGGGUUGCGCUGCUACCGUGAUUGGCUUGUUUGCCUUGUUGCUGCCAUUAUUUUGGUAUUCCUUUCCAUAUGAAGGGUUCAUUGUUAGUGAUUUUGCAGGGUUGAUGUCGAGGACUUGGAAUAUGAUUAUUGAUCAAGAAGAAGAUUUUUAUGUUUAUGAAUGACUAGGUGUGCUGGAGCUGCUGCAUGAUACCGAGCAUUCGGGGGCUUGUCUUUGGUAUUUGCAUUUAAAGCAUUUUGAAAUAAGUAUUAUUGGUUUUUCCAGGACUUACAUAAAUAGUUUGUGGUUUGAAUGAAAGGGGUCGUUGAUGAUUCCCGGGUUGUAUUUAUAUUUUAAUUCUGCUGCAUUUUAGUUUUCAAGACAAUGUUUUAAGUUAUCGUUAACUUUUAUUAUGCCUUGCGUUCCAUCGCGGCGGUAACGCCCCCGAAGUCGACGCGACGUAGCAGUGGUAGACGCGUGUGGAUUUUGGGGGUGUUACAAUGGCUUUCCUGGGAU